UCUGUAUCACCAUAAGUUAUUUGUAAAUUUGCCCGUACCAAAUGGGUAAAAAAUAGAAGCUGCCAAAGACUCUCUCCCUCUUCCUCGCUUCUCCACUCUCCGAAAUCCAAAUAAUGUACGAAUGAAUAUAUUUAGGAUUUCUAAUUAGACGCCAGAUAUUAUUUAGUUAGGUAAUCGUGUUCGGCUUCCCUAUGCUCGAGACUAAAUUCUGACCGGUGUGCUAGUAAUUAUAUACAAUUUUACUUACGUAAUCAGAUAGCGGCUUCUGCUUUUUGGGUCAAACCCAAUUUGCCAAUGGGCUUCUCCAAUGAAGCCCAGGACGCAAAAACAAUUGUGUGGGCCCUGUACUCGAACUCAGAAGACGAGUCGAAUAAAUAAAAUUGUGGGGUUCGAAUAUUUCCGUGGUUCCAUCCCUCGAUUAAACCACCAUAAUUUUAUAUAUGGCAAGGAUAGCUUCGCCUAAUUUGGUAGAUACCCAUUAACGUAAACACCGAAAGUGGGGAGCAGUAGACCAUUGAUUUCAAAAGUCUCUUCUCUUUAGAAGGAAUUCAACCUCAAAAUUCAAAGGCAAAAGACUCAUUCUUUGGUUAGCAAGUACAGUCCAUUCAUCCGCAAAAAGAACAAUAAUAAUUGACCAAUAAUAUUGUUGUUCACGGUAGAGAUGGUCCGAGUUUCAUGUCUCUUGAAAAUUCAAACCCAAUUAAUAUAUGAACUGAAAACGAUAAUAGAACCGAAGAUAGAAAUUACCAAUCUCUCUAUAUGGUACUUAGAUACAAAUGAAAAAGAUAACAAUUCUGAAUCUCUUUACAUCUUCUAAAACCUAUCCGAAAGAAAGUAAGGAGCUGACACGAGGGAACUCAAUCGGCGGAGUCAUGGGCACGUCCUAUAUAAUAAUAAUAAUAGUAAUUACAAUUAUCAUUCACGAACUUCACUUCAAAAGUGAAAAUCAGGUCCCAAAAAAUAAUGGACAAAACAGAUCACGACCAAAGCUAAAAGGAAGAGAACAAGUAUGAUCAAACAAAGACGGAGGAUAGGUUCGUCAUUCGGGCGGCCAACGUCGCGACGACCGCGGUCACCGUUUCUCCUUCUUUCUUGCCGCCGCUGUGGACGUGGCUUAAGGGGCUUGUCUAUGCUUUUGUCUCUUGCCAUAUUUUACCUUUUUAUUUAUUAACCAGUCAAAGCAACGAGAGUGCCCUGCCGACCACAGAAGAGAGGCUGCCGGUAGCUGGUAAGGCUGUUGCAAGUAGAUAUGACGGAAGAAAUUAAAUAGUUUUUUAGGAUUGAAAUUGAAAUUAGAAGUUUAUUGUAUUUAUUAUGUAGAGUGAUACGCGCUCUCUCGGAGUUUUGUUUUUUUUUUUUUUUUUUUUUUAAUACUGUUAUACAGGACUGUAGGUAUUAUAAUUAAUAUUUACAAACAGAUUUUACAAUUGGGACCUUCUUCGGGUUUUUUUUUUUUUUUUUUUUUUUUUUACAUUAAGAUUUACGUUUCGAAGGUAGGAGCCGAGCAACUUCCUGGUGUUUUACUGAUGGUUGCGUUCCAUCGGCUAAUUCACGUAGGCAAUCCGGCGUGAGUUUCAUUUUACGUGUGGGACAACGUCGAG
rnacentral:lncRNA from 1 species